GGUGCUGUAGCUUAGUGGGUUAAAGCAGUGGCCUACCAUGCCGGCAUUCCAUAUGGGUGCCGGUUCAAGUCCCAGCUGCUCCA
rnacentral:tRNA from 1 species